AGACAGCCAUGGGAGAGAGCUUUUAAGCUGGUUUUGCACAAUUUCACUGCAUGUGAGUCUAUUUCUUGCCCUUUUCUUAUAUUUUUUUGUAUUUUUAAGACUUUUGCAAUUAGGCCCAAUCAUCUAAUUCAUUAGUUUUUGAUUUGGUGGGUGAAAUUGGAAGUUACCCUGGCUGAGUAAGGGCAGUAUAUGAUGAAUUAUUAUGAAAUUUAAGUUCUAAUUUCAUAUUAAGGUUGUUUUAUUAAGUCAUUUUGAUAGAAAAUGAUAUUUAGGACCUAAUUGUGAAAAAGUUGUGAAUUAGAUGUUGAUGUUGAAAUUCAGAAUAUCAAAGCUUGUGAAUUAGUUUAUAAUGAUAAAAUAAAAGUGUUAAUUGAGAAAAAAAUUAGUUCAAUUGAUGGAUGAAUUGAGCAGGGACUAAAUUGUAAGAACUGUAAAUUUUAGGGUAAAAGUGCAAUUUUGAAAUUUGAACAGCAUAAAUUGUGAAGUGAAAUAGAAAUCAAAUAAAUGCUAAUGAGUAGAAAUAAUUUAUAUUAUAGAUCAAGAGAAACGAGAUUCAAGUCGUGAUCGAGGGAAAAAUAAAGUUUACGAGGAAUAGGCUCGAUUGCUAAUAUUUUAUAUCGAGGUAAGUUCAUAUGAUUUUUAAUAAUGCAAUGUGUAAUUUAAUGUUUUGAAAUGAAAAUUUCAUGAAUGAUAUAGUAUAUUAUUGCAUAUAAAAUGUCAUUAAACUGUGAUAAUUGUAAAAUGAUAUUUGAAUAAAAGUACAAAUUAAAUGGAACAACGGACUUGAGUACUUUCAUUCAGUGGCUAAGACGAAUUGACGGAAAAGACCAUGGUUGGACCAUGGCAGCAUGUGAAAUGUGAUUUCCGUAUAAGACCAUAGCUGGGCUAUGGCUUCGGAGAAAUGUGAUAUGUGCUUCCGUAUAAGACCAUAUCCGGGAUAUGGCAUCGGUGUGAUAUGUGCUACUAUAUAAGACCAUAUCUGGGAUAUGGCAUCAGUGUGAUAUGUGAUCCGUGUAAGACCAUGGCUGGGCUAUGGCCUCGGUAUGUGAUAUGUGACUAUGUGCAAGACCAUAGUUUUACUAUGGCAUUGUGAUAAUGAGGUACUCAAUUCCAUAAUCGUUCCCUAAUUUGAUUAUGAACGAAAAUGUAAAAUGGCCCGAAAAGAUUAAGAAUUGGUGAAUACUAUGAAAAUGACACGAUUUGGAAUAAGUUCUUGAUACUUGAUGACAUUGAGAUUAUGGAUCUAUGCUUAUGAAGCAUAAUUAUGUGUUCUUACCAUGAUGGAUGAAAUGAUAUUGUAUGGAUUUAGUGAAUAAUAGUGGUGAAUGGAUAAAUAUGGCCUUGGCAGUUUUGGGUUACUGCAGUAGUGUAUCUUUUGAAAUUCACCAUAAAUUGUGGAAAUUGAGUUAAGGGCUGAAUAAAAUAUGAGAUUAAAGCCUGAUGAGUCUAGUUUCAUAUAGAGGAAACGGUGCAUGCAAUUGGAUUUUAUGUUAUAAGAUAUUUAAAUUGUUGUGAGACAGAGUAUGAAUGACUUCGAGAUCCCCUGUUCUGAUUUUAGAAAAUCAUUAGAAAUUGUACAAAAAUAAUUAUGUGUUUUAAUUUAUAUAUUUAAAAUCCUUAUCGAGUCUAUUUUCAAGAGGGAUAGACGGGAACAUCAUCCAAGUCCCGAAUUAUGAGAUAAAUAAUUUUUAGUGAAGAGAGAUCAGAACUGUUGGACAGCGAAACAGGGGAAACUUUAAUGAAUAAACUGUACUAAAUGGAUAAACCAAAAAUUCUGGAAAUUUUAUGGGAGAAAGGUAUAUGAAUCUAGUUUCAAGGAAAAUUAACGGAACUUAAUUUGGAGUUUCUUAGCUCCAGAAAUAAAUUAUUUAGUAAAUGUAUCUCGAUAAAACAGUUUAAGCUGAGUAUGUAUAAUUGUACAAUUGUGGUGUUUUAUCUUAAAAGCAUGUUGGUAAUUGCUUAUUAAUUUGAUAUGGACUUACUAAGCAUUUAUGCUUACUCCCUCCUUUUCAUUCCUUGUAGUUUUGACAAGCCAGCUCGGAAAUCGGGAACGGUCGGAGGCCCACUCACACUAUCCGUAUACCAUCUUGGCAUAAUGGCUUGUAUAUUUUGAGUAUGGCAUGUAUAUCAUUAUAAUCAUUUUGUAUAUAUGGUCUUAUGAUAUGGAUAUUGAGUGGUAUGGAAAUGCUUGGUAAUGAUUAGCCAUUGGAAUGGCUAAUCAUGAUCAUAUUUGGUGUUAUGUAUGCUAAAUUGCUAGCUAAUCCAUGGAAACCAUGAA
rnacentral:lncRNA from 1 species